AUACGUAGGUGACAAGCGUUAUCCGGAUUUACUGGGCGUAAAGGGCGUGUAGGCGGUCUUGCAAGUCAGAAGUGAAAUUCCUGAGCUCAACUCGGGCGCUGCUUCUGAAACUGCAGGACUUGAGUGCUGGAGGGGAUAGCGGAAUUCCUAGUGGAGCGGUAAAAUGGGCAGAAAUUAGGAAGAACACCGGUGGCGAAGGUGGAUAUCUGUGCAGUAACGGACGCUGAGUCGCGAAAGCGUGGGGAGCAAACAGGUUUAAAUACCCUUGUAGUCCACGCUGUAAACGAUGAAUACUAGGUGUAGGGGGUAUCGACUCCCUCUGUGCCGCAGUUAACACAAUAAGUAUUCCGCCUGGGGAGUCCGGCCGCAAGGUUGAAACUCAAAGGAAUUGACGGGG
rnacentral:rRNA from 1 species